rnacentral:tRNA from 1 species
AGGGAUGUAGCUCAGCAGCACAGUGCUUGCCUGGCAAGCACAAGGUCCUGAGUUCGAUUCCCAGUACCCCUC